rnacentral:rRNA from 1 species
GAUGAACGCUGGCGGCGUGCCUAAUACAUGCAAGUCGAGCGAAUGGAUUAAGAGCUUGCUCUUAUGAAGUUAGCGGCGGACGGGUGAGUAACACGUGGGUAACCUGCCCAUAAGACUGGGAUAACUCCGGGAAACCGGGGCUAAUACCGGAUAACAUUUUGAACCGCAUGGUUCGAAAUUGAAAGGCGGCUUCGGCUGUCACUUAUGGAUGGACCCGCGUCGCAUUAGCUAGUUGGUGAGGUAACGGCUCACCAAGGCAACGAUGCGUAGCCGACCUGAGAGGGUGGUCGGCCACAGUGGGCCUGAGACACGGCCCAGACUCCUACGGGAGGCAGCAGUAGGGAAUCUUCCGCAAUGGACGAAAGUCUGACGGAGCAACGCCGCGUGAGUGAUGAAGGCUUUCGGGUCGUAAAACUCUGUUGUUAGGGAAGAACAAGUGCUAGUUGAAUAAGCUGGCACCUUGACGGUACCUAACCAGAAAGCCACGGCUAACUACGUGCCAGCAGCCGCAGUAA